rnacentral:rRNA from 1 species
CCCUUAGAUGUUCUGGGCUGCACGCGCGCUACACUGAUGCACUCAACGAGUUUACGACCUUGCCCGAUAGGGUUGGGUAAUCUUUUUAAAAUGCAUCGUGAUGGGGAUAGAUUAUUGCAAUUAUUAAUCUUCAACGAGGAAUUCCUAGUAAGCGCGAGUCGUCAGCUCGUGCUGAUUACGUCCCUGCCCUUUGUACACACCGCCCGUCGCUCCUACCGAUUGAGUGCUCAGGUGAAUAAUUCGGACUGCAGCAAUGUUUGGAUCCCGAACGUUGCAGCGGAAAGUUUAGUGAACCUUAUCACUUAGAGGAAGGAGAAGUCGUAACA